UGCUCACUUUGGCAGCCAUAUACUAAAAUUGGAACUAUACAGAGAUUAGCAUGGCCCUUGUGCAAGGAUUACACACAAAUUUGUGAAGUGUUCCAUAUAUAU